rnacentral:rRNA from 1 species
AGCUCCAAUAGCGUAUAUUACAGUUGUUGCAGUUAAAAAGCUCGUAGUUGAACCUUGGGUCUGGCUGGCCGGUCCGCCUCACCGCGAGUACUGGUCCGGCUGGACCUUUCCUUCUGGGGAACCUCAUGGCCUUCACUGGCUGUGGGGGGAACCAGGACUUUUACUGUGAAAAAAUUAGAGUGUUCAAAGCAGGCCUUUGCUCGAAUACAUUAGCAUGGAAUAAUAGAAUAGGACGUGUGGUUCUAUUUUGUUGGUUUCUAGGACCGCCGUAAUGAUUAAUAGGGAUAGUCGGGGGCGUCAGUAUUCAGCUGUCAGAGGUGAAAUUCUUGGAUCUGCUGAAGACUAACUACUGCGAAAGCAUUCGCCAAGGAUGUUUUCAUUAAUCAGGGAACGAAAGUUAGGGGAUCGAAGACGAUCAGAUACCGUCGUAGUCUUAACCAUAAACUAUGCCGACUAGGGAUCGGACGGGAUUCUAUAAUGACCCGUUCGGCACCUUACGAGA